rnacentral:rRNA from 1 species
GACGUAGGAGGCGAGCGUUGUCCGGAUUCAUUGGGCGUAAAGAGCGCGCAGGCGGCUUGGUAAGUCGGAUGUGAAAUCCCGAGGCUCAACCUCGGGUCUGCAUCCGAUACUGCCCGGCUAGAGGUAGGUAGGGGAGAUCGGAAUUCCUGGUGUAGCGGUGAAAUGCGCAGAUAUCAGGAGGAACACCAGUGGCGAAGGCGCCGCUCUGGGCCGUGACUGACGCUGAGGAGCGAAGGCGUGGGUAGCAAACAGG